GACGAACGCUGGCGGCGUGCCUAAUACAUGCAAGUCGAACGCAGUGGGGACGGGUGAGUAACACGUGGGUAACCUCCCAUCAGAGGGGAUAACACUUGGAAACAGGUGCUAAACCGAUACUGAUGGAUGGACCCGCGGUGCAUUAGCUAGUUGGUGAGGUAACGGCUCACCAAGGCCACGAUGCAUAGCAGGCCUGAGAGGGGGACCGGCCGCACUGGGACGUAGACACGGCCCAUACGCCUACGUGAGGCAGCAGUAGGGAAUCUUCGGCAAUGGAGGAAAGUCUGACCGAGCAACGCCGCGUGAGUGAAGAGGGUUUUCGGAUGGUAAGACUCUGUUGUUAGAGAAGCGGUAUCUAACCAGAAAGCCACGGCUAACUACGUGCCAGCAGCCGCGGUAAUAC
rnacentral:rRNA from 1 species